ensembl:lncRNA
AAUAUGGUUGUGCAUUUUCUGAGAACUCAUUUGUAAACUUCUUGGUAAUGAUUCUCCUGUUUUAUAUUCUAGGUCCUUUAAACUGGAUGACUAGUUCCUUGGGAAGGAAGGAGACUCUCACUGGAUUAGUGAAUAACAAUGAUGACUAAGGGCAGAUCUCCAUACGACCUUUCUCUAGAAGAGCAGGAAGCAGCAAACUUACAAGAUGAGGGAGGAAAGAAAGCAGCACUUGAGCAGAUGAAGGACUGACAAGGCUCCUGGAAAAAGAUCUGCAAAAAGGAAUAUGGCGCAGGUGAACCCAUC